AUUGAACGCUGGCGGCAGGCCUAACACAUGCGAGUCGAGCGGAUGAAGGGAGCUUGCUCCUGGAUUCAGCGGCGGACGGGUGAGUAAUGCCUAGGAAUCUGCCUGGUAGUGGGGGAUAACGUCCGGAAACGGGCGCUAAUACCGCAUACGUCCUGAGGGAGAAAGUGGGGGAUCUUCGGACCUCACGCUAUCAGAUGAGCCUAGGUCGGAUUAGCUAGUUGGUGGGGUAAAGGCCUACCAAGGCGACGAUCCGUAACUGGUCUGAGAGGAUGAUCAGUCACACUGGAACUGAGACACGGUCCAGACUCCUACGGGAGGCAGCAGUGGGGAAUAUUGGACAAUGGGCGAAAGCCUGAUUCAGCCAUGCCGCGUGUGUGAAGAAGGUCUUCGGAUUGUAAAGCACUUUAAGUUGGGAGGAAGGGCAGUAAGUUAAUACCUUGCUGUUUUGACGUUACCAACAGAAUAAGCACCGGCUAACUUCGUG
rnacentral:rRNA from 1 species